GGUGUAAAAGUACAAGGGAAACGAUGUAUGAAAGGUGCAUUUACACUGAUAUGAAAUGAUUGUUUCCUACACAGCAAACACUCAGCGGGCACCAGGGCUGCAUUUGCAAUAGCUCCUUUCACUUCUUCUUAGUUUUAUACUGGCGCACUACAGAAACGUUCUGCGGUGUUUCUUUGGCUCUUCAUCACAAGGAUUUCAUUUCUUCCUCAGAUCAGCCUUCAGGACUUGAUCAGGGCAAAGCUCUGUGGGCAUUUUGUUCUCCUAACAGCCCCUUUGGUUGGCUGCUGCAAACGAAAGCGGCUGCUGAGAGGCCCCAUGCCACGUGCAUGGUGCAGAGCUGCCCCAGCAAAUCACCUGCGGGAUCUCAGAGGAGCUGGAGAGGAAGAGCAUUAAGAGAAAUGCCUCAUCCAUUUUUUUAUGAGGGCUAAGCCCAUCGAGCUGUCUGAUUUCUCUGUGCAGCUGGCUGUGAUGGACGGAGAAGUGGCUUAGAUGGAUGCUUUGGUACCACCUGAUGGAGCCGUUAGAAAGGCUCAACAGGAGCGAGGAAUUAGAGGCAAUCCUCUCUCUAACAUCAGAGUGCUGGAUGUCUGGGCCAGGCUUUGUUAGGCUCUGCUCAGAACCUGCUCUGUAGUGACUGUUUCCCUAUGGAUGCACAGCCGUGUUCUGGGGAAGUGCAGUGAAACUGAAACAGGCAGCAUGGCUUGUGGGAUUCUCCAUGGGAUAAAAUGGGGAGGGGAGAAGCAGAGGUACAAAGGUGCAAGGCUAAAUACCAGAGCCCUUUCUCCCCUGUUCUCCUUUGUGGAGGUUUUCUAAUGAGCAUCCUCAUCUUCUGUAACUCCUCACAGCUGUGAAUGGUUAAUGCAGGAGCCAGGCCAGGCUGCAGCUCACCACUCAUAUUUUGGGUCACUCAGGGCUUUUUUCUGUGAAAGUUUUAUGAGCAUGCCUAGUAUUUAUCUAAUGAGAGUAAUUACUCACAACUGUAUUUACUUGAUCCAUUUGGGUAAAGACACCUCUCCUGGAGGUGGUGUGCUGCUUUGUCCCAUCCCCAGACCAGCACAGCUUGGGGCCUGCAGGAUGGUUGGGGCUUUCCACGUUCUCAGAGUCUACGGACAAAUGAACACAAACCACUGGGAGAUGCCCUGCCAGACAGAGAUGAAUAGGACGGCCGGCGGGCGCGCGCUGCUGGGCACAGCCCCAGGCUCAGCGCUCAGAAGGACUGCUGCUGACCCACCAGUGGUGUCCUGUGCAGCUGGAAGCAGAGCUCCCCAGUGAGAUGAGAGACCACUCCUCCAUGUGGAUUCAUGUCAGCACCAUGUGGCUUUGGGAGAAAGAACCUCAAACCCUGAGUUAAAUGUGGGAAGAAUUCGGAGAUGAGGAGAUUAAGAAAGGGUGCAGACUGCAGGUUAAGAAAGAUCUGUGUCAUGGCAAGGGAUGGCUGAACUAUUGUUUUGGUGUUAAUUACUGAAUAUGAAACAUGAACGUCUGUUUUUGCUGUGAUUUCUUAACCUGAGUCUGCAACUGCUUUUUAUACUUUUCAUUUUUUGACAGCUAGGGAAAAGACACCCUUUGGUAUGCUGGGCAACCUCAAGGCAAAGGCAAAUGCUUCCAAACCAGCUAACAGUAACAGCUGUCUGAGGUUUUGCCCAUAGGAUGGGUGGUGUCUCACACAGCAAAGAUAUGAAAGAUUUGUGCUGUACUGAGCUUGGAAAAGUGCUUUCUUGAGCAGGGGCACAACCAGCCCCUCUAUGUACUCUGUGAGCCAUGAAAGACAUUGUUUGUUGCCCAAGCCUCGACCUGGACCUUGAGCAUGUGGAGUUCUCUGCCUGCUGCCACCACCUCUACAACUGAGUGUAACCAGCCAAGCUGGAGCCAGUGCUCAUCUGCAUCUCAGCUUCACCUCACCCCAAUGUGAAGAGCUGGCCACGAGAACACUUUUUGUUCAUU
rnacentral:lncRNA from 1 species